rnacentral:rRNA from 1 species
AAGUCGGACGGCAUCUGCCCCUCAUUUUGGACAUUGUGGGGAGCAGUGUUCAAGAUGAGUGGUCAGAGAGAGUGGCGGACUGGUGAGUAACGCGUGGGUGACCUACCCUUAGGUUGGGGAUAGCCGCUAGAAAUAGCGGGUAAUACCGGAUGUGGUUACAUUACCGAGGUGAUGUAAAGAAAGAAGCUUUGGCUUCGCCUGAGGAUGGGCCCGCGUCCCAUUAGCUAGUUGGGGGUGUAACGGACCACCAAGGCGAUGAUGGGUAGCCGGCCUGAGAGGGUGAACGGCCACACUGGGACUGAGAUACGGCCCAGACUCCUACGGGAGGCAGCAGCUAAGAAUAUUCCGCAAUGGACGAAGGUCUGACGGAGCGACGCCGCGUGGAUGAGGAAGGCCGAAAGGUUGUAAAAUCCUUUUGUUGCUGAAGAAUAAGGUUGGGAGGGAAUGCCCGACUGAUGACACUAGGCGAUGAAUAAGCCCCGGCUAAUUACGUGCCAGCAGCCGCGGUAACACGUAAGGGGCGAGCGUUGUUCGGAAUUAUUGGGCGUAAAGGGCGCGUAGGCGGUUUUACAAGCCUGGUGUGAAAUUGCGGGGCUCAACCCCGGGACUGCGCCAGGAACUGUAGGACUUGAGUCAUGGAGGGGGAGUUGGAAUUCCAGGUGUAGGGGUGAAAUCUGUAGAUAUCUGGAAGAACACCGGUGGCGAAGGCG